rnacentral:rRNA from 1 species
CCUACGGGAGGCAGCAGUAAGGAAUAUUGGACAAUGCUCGCAAGAGUGAUCCAGCCAUGCCGCGUGCAGGAAGAAUGCCCUAUGGGUAGUAAACUGCUUUUGAACUAGAGAAAACCCCAGUACGUGUACUGGGCUGAUAGUAUAGUUAGAAUAAGCAUCGGCUAACUUCGUGCCAGCAGCCGCGGUAAGACGAAGGAUGCAAGCGUUAUCCGGAUUCAUUGGGUUUAAAGGGAGCGUAGGUGGACUGAUAAGUCAGUGGUGAAAUCUCCGAGCUUAACUCGGAAAUUGCCAUUGAUACUGUUGGUCUUGAGUACAGUUGCUGUGGGCGGAAUAUGACAUGUAGUGGUGAAAUACAUAGAGAUGUCAUAGAACACCGAUUGCGAAGGCAGCUCACAAAGCUGUAACUGACACUGAGGCUCGAAAGUGCGGGGAUCAAACAGGAUUAGAUACCCUGGUAGUCCGCACCGUAAACGAUGAUUACUCGCUGCUAGGGGGCAACCUUUAGUGGCUUAGCGAAAGCGAUAAGUAAUCCACCUGGGGAGUACGCCGGCAACGGUGAAACGUUAAGGAAUUGACGGCGNGAGAGNGCGAGGCGACACGAGGGAGAGG